rnacentral:rRNA from 1 species
UACGUAGGGUGCGAGCGUUAAUCGGAAUUACUGGGCGUAAAGCGUGCGCAGGCGGCUUUGCAAGACAGAUGUGAAAUCCCCGGGCUCAACCUGGGAACUGCAUUUGUGACUGCAGGGCUUGAGUACGGCAGAGGGGGAUGGAAUUCCGCGUGUAGCAGUGAAAUGCGUAGAUAUGCGGAGGAACACCGAUGGCGAAGGCAGUCCCCUGGGCCUGUACUGACGCUCAUGCACGAAAGCGUGGGGAGCAAACAGG